rnacentral:snRNA from 1 species
UGUCUUAAGUAAUGGAUUUUAGACAAAAAAAAGGUUCUCCCAGGGCGAGGCUCAUCCAUUGACCCCUGCGAUUUCCCCAAAUGCGGGAAACUCGACUGCAUAAUUUGUGGGUAGUUGGGGACUGCAUUCACGCUCUUCCCCU